GAAUUCAUCACUCGUCAGAAGAGAAACUGAGAAUAAAGAGGAAAAGGAUCAUUUCUCAGAGAGACAAAAGCUCGAUCUCCAAACCAUUAGUUUCAAAGGAAACGACGCCUCGAAGUACCGGUUAACGCAGGGCGGAGCGGCACAACCAGAGGGCGCCAUGAGUCUUGAUGGAGAUGGUCGAUUCUUUCGGAAACUGCCCACGUUUCGGUACUGAACCAGAAAAUAAUCGAUGAAAUAUAUGAAGUGAAUGAAGAAGUUUAUGGUGGAAUUUGGCUAGGUUCUUCAUUCCAUUUAUUUAGUCUAUUAUUGGAAACAAUGAGACCAAAUGAGGAUAACUUAUAAUUCUACCAUAAGAUUAUUUAUUCUUCAAUUUUGCAGCAAUGACUGGCCAAAUCAAGCACUAACGCGUUCAUUACUGGUGAGUGUCAAUCAUUGUACAAAGCUCUUCUCAUAAAUUCCAAAGGUUAGGGGCUGUUAGAUUUGGGGUAAGUUUGUUACGAAGGCACCAUAGAGUAAUAAACAUAGAUAGAGGAAGUAUACGCA